ACACAAACUCGAUUUUAGAAACAGAAUUAGAAAACAUGUUAGAGAAUAUUUAAGGAUGACACACUGCAGUAAACGCUAGGAACCACAUUUCAACAACUGUUAGAGGCUAUUACCACUCCCGUUGCAUGCAAGAAAAUUAGCUGUAAUUGGAUGAGAAAAAAGAUUCAAGAAGAUUGAGUGGCUUCCUAAGAUGUGUAAGGGCUUGGAACACUGGAGAUUUUUUUUAUGUGUUUUUUUUUUUUUUUUUAUCAAAAGUCACCAGAUGGAAAAUGACAAAGUCAGUCAAAGGAGCCCAGGUAAACUUCAAUUCAUACAUGGAUGAUCUUAAGAGAACAUCUAUUCUUGCCUCAUUACAAUGGAUUCCUCUGAUUAAAAUUAUAAUUUUAGCUAGGCCAAGAGAAUAUUAAAAAAUUAUAAGCCCUAGAAUGUGACGUAGUGUUAUGGAUUGAAUUGUGUCUCUCCAACUGAUGUUGAAGUCAUAACCUCUGGUACCUGUGAAUGUGACUACAUUUGAAAAUAGUGUCUUUGCAGAUGAUCAAAUUAAGAUGAGGUCAUUAGAUAUGCCCUAACCCAAUGUAACUGUUUCCUCAUAGAAAAGGGGAAAUUUGGACAUAGAGACAGACACACAUAGAAAGAUCACUCCGUUCUUUCACAGGGACACAGGGAGAUCACCACCUACAAGUCAAACAACAUUUGAGGCUACCAGAAGCUAGGAGAGAAGAAUGGUACAGACCAUCCCUCACAACCUUCAGUAGGAACCUCCCAUGCUGAUACCUUGAUCUUGGACCUCUGUCCUCCCGAACUGUGACACAAUACAUUUCUGUUGUUUAAGCUACCCAAUGUGUAGUAUUUUGUUCCGAUACCCUCUAGAAAAUCAAUACACUUAAAAUUUAGUAAAUAGAAUUGAGGUCUUUGUUAAAACAUUAAAUGAGUAAACAAAAAACAUGCAAACAAAAAACUGGCACUCUGCAUUUUUUUUCA
rnacentral:lncRNA from 1 species